CCUACGGGUGGCAGCAGUGGGGAAUAUUGGGCAAUGGGCGCAAGCCUGACCCAGCAACGCCGCGUGAAGGAAGAAGGCUUUCGGGUUGUAAACUUCUUUUGUCAGGGAAGAGUAGAAGACGGUACCUGACGAAUAAGCCACGGCUAACUACGUGCCAGCAGCCGCGGUACUACGUAGGUGGCAAGCGUGGUCCGGAUUUACUGGGUGUAAAGGGCGUGUGGCCGGGUUGACAAAUCAGAUGGGAAAUCCUGCGGCUUAACCGCAGAACUGAAUUUGAAACUGUUGAUCUUGAGUACUGGAGAGGCAGAUGGAAUUCCUAGUGUAGCGGUGAAAUGCGUAGAUAUUAGGAGGAACACCAGUGGCGAAGGCGGUCUGCUGGACAGCAACUGACGGUGAGGCGCGAAAGCGUGGGGAGCAAACAGGAUUAGAUACCCGUGUAGUC
rnacentral:rRNA from 1 species